AUUGAACGCUGGCGGCAUGCCUUACACAUGCAAGUCGAACGGCAGCACGGGAGCAAUCCUGGUGGCGAGUGGCGAACGGGUGAGUAAUAUAUCGGAACGUGCCCGGUCGUGGGGGAUAACGUAGCGAAAGCUACGCUAAUACCGCAUACGAUCUACGGAUGAAAGCGGGGGAUCGCAAGACCUCGCGCGAUUGGAGCGGCCGAUAUCAGAUUAGGUAGUUGGUGAGGUAAAGGCUCACCAAGCCGACGAUCUGUAGCUGGUCUGAGAGGACGACCAGCCACACUGGGACUGAGACACGGCCCAGACUCCUACGGGAGGCAGCAGUGGGGAAUUUUGGACAAUGGGCGCAAGCCUGAUCCAGCAAUGCCGCGUGCAGGAUGAAGGCCUUCGGUUGUAAACUGCUUUGUUACGGACGAACGGUGAGCUCUAAUACAGUUUGCUAAUGACGGUACCGUAA
rnacentral:rRNA from 1 species